AGGAUGAUAGCUCAAGAAAACAAAGGCUACUUUGCUAAGUCAGCGGUGAGAGAAAAUAAUGAAAGAUGCAAAGAAGAAUGAUUAUGGAGCUACUAUUUUGUCUCAGCCUUUAGCACAAAGAAUGAAGGAAGCAGGAGCUCAGUAAGAUAAAUAUUAAUGAGUCUCUGGGAAUAUCAAGAAACAGAAUUAAUAAGAGGCAGGUAAAAGAAUACUUAUACAAUUUAAAUAUUUAUAAAUCAGGAGAGCUGGGUGAGAUUCAUUUGAACAUAUUCAAAGAACCAGCUAAGGCAGGACAUACCUGCAAUACUAGUGUUUGUCGUAGAGACCUAUGUACCAGGGAAAUUUAAGCAGGCUGAUUUAGUGUUGGAGAUAAAGCAGCCAAAAGCAGAUACAGGAAAAGGUGGGCUAGUUAGCGUAUCCAAACUACCAGUCAAAAUUCUAAAUGAAAUCAUAAAUCAGUCCAUGAG